UAUUUUACCUGGGCUCUAACCAAGACCCCCUGACCUGAAAAAUCAGUGUUGUAUUCAACCAUAAAAACA
rnacentral:tRNA from 1 species